rnacentral:tRNA from 1 species
GGAGAGUUGGCAGAGCGGUCGAAUGCACCGGUCUUGAAAACCGGAGGGCCCUUGCGGGUCCCGGGGGUUCGAAUCCUCCACUCUCCGCCA